GAAUGCAGUUGAGGUGCGUAUACCAGUGAAAAGCGCGGGAGUCGAGAUAAACAUUAGCCAAGGGGAGCUCACUCUAGAGAAAAGUAGAAGACGCAGACGACAUCGGUUGACAUGACAAUGGAAGGAAGCAGAAGGGUGUGUUUAGAGAAGUUCAGAAGUCAGCGUUUAGGAAGUAAUUCAUGUCUAGUCAAGCCAAUCUGCCGGCCUCCAGAUGCCGUCAGCGGAGACUACAGAAAUUAUUGAUUGUGGACUCAUAGGAAGAUUCGAGUGGAGUAUCAGGUACCAAGGUGUUGCUCCAGCGGACUACCUUCGGCAGUGAGCAUCUUCUGAGGAACUGCAAGAGUGUAACUAAAGCUUUCAGACCGAUGUCUGUGUAUUGUUGAAAUGGCAAUGAUGAGAACAUUCCUGUUCAGCUAAACAGGUGCAACGGUAUUCAGGGACAAAUAAACCACAGUCGAGGUAAAACAAAAUCGGAGAUUUGCAAGAAUGUGUUUCAGUGACUGGACUGAAAAUUCGUUUCUAAAUACUGAUGAUGAGGAGGAGAAGUGCAACGAAGAAUAGGAGAAAGAGAAGGUUUAGACAGAAGAGGAAAAACGAAAUAACUUGAAUUUACCCAGUUUAAGAUGAGGAUUUUGUUUAAAGCAGGGUAUAUAGUAUAUGAGUAGCUCAAGCAUAUCUUAGCAUUUCUAAUGAGCUUCUUCGUCACUAGCUAUAAGACUUCCGAUGGUUAGUUUUGUUGGCUUAUGUAGUAGGAAAGUGCUUCCACCUUGCGGCUAUUUAGCACUAUAGGGGAAGAGUACCCAGAGAAACCCGCGAUACCUAGCCCUGUAGACAGAUGUCACAUAGAGUGUCCCGAGACGAGAUAUGAACUGCAGUGGUGACAAGCGAGUGUUUUAACUACACUGCCGAACGCCCCACAAGACUACCGAACCGCGUGGUCAGUUCCUUCAUUUGUUCGUUAAUUGAGGUUAACUUUCUCGAGGUGUCGCGCAUUAAUGGUCUUAUCUAAGGACCUCAUCGGCUGUUCUACAUGUGACAUUAUUGCAUUACUCAAAAAAACUGUAGCAAGGUGCAAUACAAAGCGAUUAUUUAACCAAGUCUUACCUGAUAUAAGUCAUUUUCUCAUUUUCUUUUUACGUAUAGUGCCAAAAUGAACUUGUAACUACUGAUAAUAAACAAAAGGUCAACAGCUCAAGUCUAAACAAAUAAUGAUUACAAAGAGA